AGUCGAGCGGUAGAGAGAAGCUUGCUUCUCUUGAGAGCGGCGGACGGGUGAGUAAUGCCUAGGAAUCUGCCUGGUAGUGGGGGAUAACGUUCGGAAACGGACGCUAAUACCGCAUACGUCCUACGGGAGAAAGCAGGGGACCUUCGGGCCUUGCGCUAUCAGAUGAGCCUAGGUCGGAUUAGCUAGUUGGUGGGGUAAUGGCUCACCAAGGCGACGAUCCGUAACUGGUCUGAGAGGAUGAUCAGUCACACUGGAACUGAGACACGGUCCAGACUCCUACGGGAGGCAGCAGUGGGGAAUAUUGGACAAUGGGCGAAAGCCUGAUCCAGCCAUGCCGCGUGUGUGAAGAAGGUCUUCGGAUUGUAAAGCACUUUAAGUUGGGAGGAAGGGUUGUAGAUUAAUACACUGCAAUUUUGACGUUACCGACAGAAUAAGCACCGGCUAACUCUGUGCCAGCAGCCGCGGUAAUACAGAGGGUGCAAGCGUUAAUCGGAUUUACUGGGCGUAAAGCGCGCGUAGGUGGUUUGUUAAGUUGGAUGUGAAAUCCCCGGGCUCAACCUGGGAACUGCAUUCAAAACUGACUGACUAGAGUAUGGUAGAGGGUGGUGGAAUUUCCUGUGUAGCGGUGAAAUGCGUAGAUAUAGGAAGGAACACCAGUGGCGAAGGCGACCACCUGGACUAAUACUGACACUGAGGUGCGAAAGCGUGGGGAGCAAACAGGAUUAGAUACCCUGGUAGUCCACGCCGUAAACGAUGUCAACUAGCCGUUGGAAGCCUUGAGCUUUUAGUGGCGCAGCUAACGCAUUAAGUUGACCGCCUGGGGAGUACGGC
rnacentral:rRNA from 1 species